GUCAGUUUCAGUUUGGCUCUAUUGCUAACUAUUGAGUUGGCAAUAGCAGCGCCACUGAUGUCGAAGCUGAAAUGUAAAGACCAUUGCGGAAAUAUUACUAUUCCAUACCCCUUCGGAAUGGGUAAUAAGGAUUGUUAUUUCAACGAAUGGUUUGAGAUCAAGUGCAACGAAAGUGCCUACCCUCCUACAGCUUUUAUAGCUAGU
rnacentral:misc_RNA from 1 species